rnacentral:rRNA from 1 species
AGUGAACGCUGGCGGUAGGCCUAACACAUGCAAGUCGAACGGCAGCACAGUAAGAGCUUGCUCUUACGGGUGGCGGGUGGCGGACGGGUGAGGAAUACAUCGGAAUCUACUUUUUCGUGGGGGAUAAUGUAGGGAAACUUACGCUAAUACCGCAUACGACCUACGGGUGAAAGCAGGGGAUCUUCGGACCUUGCGCGAUUGAAUGAGCCGAUGUCGGAUUAGCUAGUUGGCGGGGUAAGGCCCACCAAGGCGACGAUCCGUAGCUGGUCUGAGAGGAUGAUCAGCCACACUGGAACUGAGACACGGUCCAGACUCCUACGGGAGGCAGCAGUGGGGAAUAUUGGACAAUGGGCGCAAGCCUGAUCCAGCCAUACCGCGUGGGUGAAGAAGGCCUUCGGGUUGUAAAGCCCUUUUGUUGGGAAGGAAAAGCAGCAGGUUAAUACCCCGCUGUUCUGGCGGUACCCAAAGAAUAAGCACCGGCUAACUUCGUG